CCGACUUUUUAGUUUCCUUUUCCUUAAUUUAUUUCUCUAGUUAGAUUUGGUCGAGAACAAGAGGGGAAUCGAGGGAAACGAAGGAGGAAGAGUCAGGAUAUAGAGACCGAAGAGACUGAAGCCUUGCAUCCAGAAGGCUCAACUCGUUGAGUUAUCUUUGGGGAUCUUGAUAAGCUUCUCGCUAUACAAGAGAAUCUCUUUUGAUAUCGGGGAUCAGCUUGAACAACUAUGUAGAGAACCUUGGUGAUCUUGUAGGUUCCCAAAUAAGAUGACUAUGUUACGACCCGAGAUAUUUUGUUUAGCUCUCUUUCUGUUAGUGCGAGGAAUUUAUGACAAAAUUUUUUGAGAGGUUAGGGUUGUUGAGAUGUUUUAUAUGAUAUUAAUUAAUAAAGAAGCUUCUUGAGUUGAUUGAACA